rnacentral:rRNA from 1 species
ACGAACGCUGGCGGCGUGCCUAAUACAUGCAAGUUGAGCGCUGAAGGUUGGUACUUGUACCAACUGGAUGAGCAGCGAACGGGUGAGUAACGCGUGGGGAAUCUGCCUUUGAGCGGGGGACAACAUUUGGAAACGAAUGCUAAUACCGCAUAAAAACUUUAAACACAAGUUUUAAGUUUGAAAGAUGCAAUUGCAUCACUCAAAGAUGAUCCCGCGUUGUAUUAGCUAGUUGGUGAGGUAAAGGCUCACCAAGGCGAUGAUACAUAGCCGACCUGAGAGGGGGAUCGGCCACAGUGGGACUGAGACACGGCCCAAACUCCUACGGGAGGCAGCAGUAGGGAAUCUUCGGCAAUGGACGAAAGUCUGACCGAGCAACGCCGCGUGAGUGAAGAAGGUUUUCGGAUCGUAAAACUCGGUUGGUAGAGAAGAACGUUGGUGAGAGUGGAAAGCUCAUCAAGUGACGGUAACUACCCAGAAAGGGACGGCUAACUACGUG